rnacentral:rRNA from 1 species
CGGAGGCGCUCAAAGGUUCCCUCAGAAUGGUUGGAAAUCAUUCAUAGAGUGUAAAGGCAUAAGGGAGCUUGACUGCGAGACCUACAAGUCGAGCAGGGUCGAAAGACGGACUUAGUGAUCCGGUGGUUCCGCAUGGAAGGGCCAUCGCUCAACGGAUAAAAGCUACCCCGGGGAUAACAGGCUUAUCUCCCCCAAGAGUUCACAUCGACGGGGAGGUUUGGCACCUCGAUGUCGGCUCAUCGCAUCCUGGGGCUGUAGUCGGUCCCAAGGGUUGGGCUGUUCGCCCAUUAAAGCGGUACGCGAGCUGGGUUCAGAACGUCGUGAGACAGUUCGGUCCCUAUCCGUCGUGGGCGUAGGAAAUUUGAGAGGAGCUGUCCUUAGUACGAGAGGACCGGGAUGGACAUACCUCUGGUGUACCAGUUGUCGUGCCAACGGCAUAGCUGGGUAGCUAUGUGUGGACGGGAUAAGUGCUGAAAGCAUCUAAGCAUGAAGCCCCCCUCAAGAUGAGAUUUCCC